rnacentral:lncRNA from 1 species
UGCAUGGGUUAAAGACUCGACUGAAUGAAGCCAGAGGCCUCUGGGUCGAAGAGUUGCACUCGGUCCUGUGGGCAUACCGAACGACACUCCAGGUCUCGAUCGGAGAAUCUUCUUUCAAUUUGGCUUAUGGGACGGAGGCAAUGAUCCCACUAGAGAUCGGGCUACCAUCGACUAGAGUUGAGCAAUACUGUGAACCGGGCAAC